UACGAAGGGUGCAAGCGUUAAUCGGAAUUACUGGGCGUAAAGCGCGCGUAGGUGGUUCAGUAAGUUGGAAGUGAAAUCCCCGGGCUCAACCUGGGAACUGCUUUCAAAACUGCUGAGCUAGAGUACGGUAGAGGGUGGUGGAAUUUCCUGUGUAGCGGUGAAAUGCGUAGAUAUAGGAAGGAACACCAGUGGCGAAGGCGACCACCUGGACUGAUACUGACGCUGAGGUGCGAAAGCGUGGGGAGCAAACAGG
rnacentral:rRNA from 1 species